GUCAUGGAAUCAUGUUGCUGCAUAUGUGAGAUGGAUUGCUUUGGAAACUGAGACAUGAUUAGGGAUGGUAGACUUAUCUACUAAUGGUAGACACAACAGAGAUGUCAUGACUUCUCACAAAGGAGGACAAGGUAACCACUCAACUGAUGCAGUGAUGCCAUCUCUGAGCCAAAGGAAAGGUCUUCUCUUUGCACAAGGAACAACAACUGUGGGGGAGAAGCACAGAGAACAAGGAAUAUCUGUGAGCAGAAAGUCCCAGUAAGCAGCCAUCAACCUUCCCUGGGGGACAAGCAGGCAGGCUUGGCUUCUUCAAUAGCCAGCAUCAGAGCUCCAAGCUCUGUUCCUUAGCAAGUUACAGUACCAAUGAUGAGAGCAAUUGUGAGAUGAAAGGUGACCAAUCUU